UAUUCCUACGGGAGGCAGCAGUGAGGAAUAUUGGUCAAUGGUCGGGAGACUGAACCAGCCAAGCCGCGUGAGGGAGGAAGGUACAGAGUAUCGUAAACCUCUUUUGUCAGGGAACAAAGACUGGGACGCGUCCCCGGAUGAGUGUACCUGAAGAAAAAGCAUCGGCUAACUCCGUGCCAGCAGCCGCGGUAAUACGUAGGGGGCAAGCGUUAUCCGGAUUCACUGGGCGUAAAGGGCGCGCAGGCGGCAUGGCAAGUCUGAUGUGAAAACCCGGGGCCCAACCCCGGGAGUGCAUUGGAAACUGC
rnacentral:rRNA from 1 species